UACGUAGGGUGCGAGCGUUGUCCGGAUUUAUUGGGCGUAAAGAGCUCGUAGGCGGUUUGUCGCGUCGGCCGUGAAAUCUCCACGCUUAACGUGGAGCGUGCGGUCGAUACGGGCAGACUUAAGUUCGGUAGGGGAGACUGGAAUUCCUGGUGUAGCGGUGAAAUGCGCAGAUAUCAGGAGGAACACCGGUGGCGAAGGCGGGUCUCUGGGCCGAUACUGACGCUGAGGAGCGAAAGCUAGGGGAGCAAACGGG
rnacentral:rRNA from 1 species